rnacentral:lncRNA from 1 species
GCAUCCUCACCCCGAUUCCGUUCUUCUUCUCAUCUUUGGUAGGUCCUAUCGCCGGAUCUGGCCUCCGCUGCACAAAUUCUGGUACCAGGUAGUCAUCUUUGGUGAGUUCUCACCCCUUCCGCCAUUACCCUUUCCAACCAUUUUCAUAGCAUCCUCACCUCGAUCCCAUUCUUCUUCUUGUCUUUGGUAGGUCCUGUCACCGGAUCUGCCCUCCGUCGUGCAAAUUCUAGUACCAGGUAGCCAUCUUUGGUGAGUUUUCGUCCCUUCUGCCACCACCCUUUCCCAUCCGUUUUCGCAACAUUCUCACCCUAAUCCCGCUUGUCUUCUCAUCUUUGGUAGGUCCUGUCACCAGAUCUGUACUCCGCCACGCAAACUCUGCU